UACGUCCUACGGGAGAAAGCAGGGGACCUUCGGGCCUUGCGCUAUCAGAUGAGCCUAGGUCGGAUUAGCUAGUUGGUGGGGUAAUGGCUCACCAAGGCGACGAUCCGUAACUGGUCUGAGAGGAUGAUCAGUCACACUGGAACUGAGACACGGUCCAGACUCCUACGGGAGGCAGCAGUGGGGAAUAUUGGACAAUGGGCGAAAGCCUGAUCCAGCCAUGCCGCGUGUGUGAAGAAGGUCUUCGGAUUGUAAAGCACUUUAAGUUGGGAGGAAGGGCCAUUACCUAAUACGUGAUGGUUUUGACGUUACCGACAGAAUAAGCACCGGCUAACUCUGUGCCAGCAGCCGCGGUAAUACAGAGGGUGCAAGCGUUAAUCGGAAUUACUGGGCGUAAAGCGCGCGUAGGUGGUUCGUUAAGUUGGAUGUGAAAUCCCCGGGCUCAACCUGGGAACUGCAUUCAAAACUGUCGAGCUAGAGUAUGGUAGAGGGUGGUGGAAUUUCCUGUGUAGCGGUGAAAUGCGUAGAUAUAGGAAGGAACACCAGUGGCGAAGGCGACCACCUGGACUGAUACUGACACUGAGGUGCGAAAGCGUGGGGAGCAAACAGGAUUAGAUACC
rnacentral:rRNA from 1 species